UACGGGGGGGGCAAGCGUUGUUCGGAAUUACUGGGCGUAAAGGGCGCGUAGGCGGCCUGCUAAGUCGGACGUGAAAUCCCUCGACUCAACCGGGGAACUGCGUCCGAUACUGGUGGGCUCGAAUCCGGGAGAGGGAUGUGGAAUUCCAGGUGUAGCGGUGAAAUGCGUAGAUAUCUGGAGGAACACCGGUGGCGAAGGCGGCAUCCUGGACCGGCAUUGACGCUGAGGCGCGAAAGCGUGGGGAGCGAACAGG
rnacentral:rRNA from 1 species